rnacentral:rRNA from 1 species
GACGAACGCUGGCGGCGUGCCUAAUACAUGCAAGUAGAACGCUGAAGAGAGGAGCUUGCUCUUCUUGGAUGAGUUGCGAACGGGUGAGUAACGCGUAGGUAACCUGCCUUGUAGCGGGGGAUAACUAUUGGAAACGAUAGCUAAUACCGCAUAACAAUGGAUGACACAUGUCAUUUAUUUGAAAGGGGCAAUUGCUCCACUACAAGAUGGACCUGCGUUGUAUUAGCUAGUAGGUGAGGUAAUGGCUCACCUAGGCGACGAUACAUAGCCGACCUGACAGGGUGAGCGGCCAGACUGGGACUGAGACACGGCCCAGACGCCUACGGGAGGCAGCAGUAGGGAAUCUUCGGCAAUGGGGGCAACCCUGACCGAGCAACGCCGCGGGAGUGAAGAAGGUUUUCGGAUCGUAAAGCUCGGUUGUAAGUCAAGAACGGGUGUGAGAGUGGAAAGUUCACACUGUGACGGUAGCUUACCAGAAAGGGACGGCUAACUACGUG